CCUACGGGAGGCAGCAGUGGGGAAUAUUGGGCAAUGGGCGCAAGCCUGACCCAGCAACGCCGCGUGAAGGAAGAAGGCUUUCGGGUUGUUAACUUCUUUUAAGCGGGAAGAGCAGAAGACGGUACCUCUUGAAUAAGCCACGGCUAAAGACGUGCCAGCAGCCGCGGUAAUACGUAGGUGGCAAGUGUUGUCCGGAGUUACUGGGUGUAAAGGGCGUGCAGCCGGGAAGACAAGUCAGGUGUGAAAUCCCGGGGCGCAAACGCGGAACUGCAUUUGAACCUGUUUUUCUUGAGUACCGGAGAGGUCAUCGGAAUUCCGUGUGUAGCGGUGAAAUGCGUAGAUAUAAGGAAGAACACCAGUGGCGAAGGCGGAUGACUGGACGGCAACUGACGGUGAGGCGCGAAAGCGUGGGGAGCAAACAGGAUUAGAUACCCCUGUAGUC
rnacentral:rRNA from 1 species